rnacentral:lncRNA from 1 species
AUUACAUAUAUUACUUUGAUCUGAACAUGUUUUCUUUUUCCUUUUAAUAGAACAUUAGAUCUCCAUAGCUGGGGAAGGAUCUAAUACUUCACCUUUAAGUACAGGGACUGUUGACUUACGCAGUCAUUUCCCUUUGCUUUCAGACACAAUAUGUGGGUACAUUAUAGAAUUGUGAAAGUUCAUCCCCAGGCUCCACCUCUGCUUUCUUUCCUCACCAGAUUUUCAGAGCUGUGAAAUGGCCUCUUGUUUAUGCUGUCAUACUAAAUAUACAA